rnacentral:rRNA from 1 species
AACGAACGCUGGCGGCAUGCCUAUCACAUGCAAGUCGAACGAUUGCCUUCGGGUGAUAGUGGCGCACGGGUGCGUAACGCGUGGGAAUCUGCCCUUAGGUUCGGAAUAACAGCUGGAAACGGCUGCUAAUACCGGAUGAUAUCGCGAGAUCAAAGAUUUAUCGCCUGAGGAUGAGCCCGCGUUGGAUUAGGUAGUUGGUGGGGUAAAGGCCUACCAAGCCGGCGAUCCAUAGCUGGUCUGAGAGGAUGAUCAGCCACACUGGGACUGAGACACGGUCCAGACUCCUACGGGAGGCAGCAGUGGGGAAUAUUGGACAAUGGGCUCAAGCCUGAUCCAGCAAUGCCGCGUGAGUGAUGAAGGCCCUAGGGUUGUAAAGCUCUUUUACCCGGGAAGAUAAUGACUGUACCGGGAGAAUAAGCCCCGGCUAACUCCGUG